AGUUCUCAAAAUUCCUAUCAGUUUCACUCAGAGCCAUAACUGCCUACAAUUAAAAAAAAAUAAAAUAAAAAGGGCAAGGAUUUAAAACUUUCCAGCUUAAACCAAGAUAACUGGAGAUAUAACUGGAGAUAAUAGACUAUCUUACUACACAGGGAGCUUUCUUUUGCUCUUGUAUAUGUCAUUUGAGAGGUCAGCAUGGAUUUCCCCAUGACAGCACUAAAGAACUGGUCUGAAUGCCACUAUUUAGCCUUUUUUUAAAUGUAUUUAUCUUUAUCAUAGCUGCUGCUGUGUUCUGCCAUAACUUCAAGCCAUGUGGAUACUCUCUACAGGAGUCCACCCCUUUUACCUAUGGCUGUUUACUGAAACCUGAAGGAAGAAAAAGUCCCACCAGUAUUAAAAUACAUCAUGAAGAUUCUCCAGGCAGAGCUGUAGCACUGUUUCAACUGGGCUACUGGACAUCUGGAAACAAUCUCUGGGCAGAAAGAUUGGAACAGGGAAGACAUGGAAACGCGGGAGUUAGACCUGAAGCACGCUUGGAAGGCAUGAAAUAACUGUGGACAGCUUCAGUUCUGCAUUAAUGAUGCUUUCCCCAGUGAAUGUAAAAUUUCUCAAUGAAUUUAUGAGCCUCCCAGAUGCUGGAGCUAACCAAGGAUUGUCUCCCACUCUAUAAGUACUAAAAUGAUGCAGAAGAUGAGCUCGGAGGUGCUAAAUCAUCAUGGUUUAAUCCUUGUGAUUCAAGGAUUAGAAAACUAAGGGAACUAAUCCCUUGGUCAAUCACCCUAAUCAAACGCCCUUUGAACUAGACUUAUGCAGGAAUUCGAAUUAACAUAGCCUGAGGUCAGAAAUAUUAUUUUUCUGCUUUGUUUUUUUUUUUCUCUUUUAAUGAAAAUACCUAAUCCCAAAUAACUCUAUGGCAAACCAUUUCUCAGCACUAUUGUCUAGAAAGAACUGUUUAACCAUUUGCCUCUUAAAAUCAUGCAUCAGUUUUUAUGUAAAAAGGAAUAUUUGAAUGGGUUUAAUUAUAAAAUAGAGGAUAAAAUAUAGAGGAUAAAAUAGAGGAUAAAACAAAGGAUAAAAUAGAGAAUAAAAGAAGAUGAGAUGUACCUCUAUUUAUUAUA
rnacentral:lncRNA from 14 species